UACAUAUUUCAACAUCUAUGCCAAAUUAAAAGAAAAAAAAUCCACCACUAACUUGAGAACUAAAUAGUACUCCUUCAAUUCUUAAAAAGAUGAGGAAGAUGAUGAAGAGAUUGAUUUUAAAUAUGAGUAUUAAGAGGAUGAAGGUGUAGAAGAAGAUGAAGAAGAUUAUGAUGCUACUUUUGAUGAAGAUUGAAGAGUAAUUAUUUUAUAAUUGCUUGAUUUUAGUUA
rnacentral:misc_RNA from 1 species